rnacentral:rRNA from 1 species
CUGGCCACGCAAGUUCGUCGGGAAAUCCACUAGCUCAACUAGUGGGCGUCCGGCGAAAACUGCGUGGCUUGGGACCGGAAGGCUCGAGGGGUACGUCCGGGGUAGGAGUGAAAUCCUGUAAUCCUGGACGGACCACCGAUGGCGAAAGCACCUCGAGAAGACGGAUCCGACAGUGAGGGACGAAAGCUGGGGUCUCGAACCGGAUUAGAUACCCGGGUAGUCCCAGCCGUAAACGAUGCCAGUUAGGUGUGGCAGAGGCUACGAGCCUCUGCUGUGCCGUAGGGAAGCCGAGAAACUGGCCGCCUGGGAAGUACGUCCGCAAGGAUGAAGCUUAAAGGAAUUGGCGGGGGAGCACUACAACCGGAGGAGCCUGCGGUUUAAUUGGACUCAACGCCGGACAUCUCACCAGCUCCGACUACAGUGAUGACGGUCAGGUUGAUGACCUUACCACGACGCUGUAGAGAGGAGGUGCAUGGCCGCCGUCAGCUCGUACCGUGAGGCGUCCUGUUAAGUCAGGCAACGAGCGAGACCCGCACUCUUAAUUGCCAGCAUCAGGUUUCCUGGAUGGGCACAUUAAGAGGACUGCCGCUGCUAAAGCGGAGGAAGGAACGGGCAACGGUAGGUCAGUAUGCCCCGAAUGAGCUGGGCUACACGCGGGCUACAAUGGUCAGGACAAUGGGUUCCAACCUCGAAAGAGGACGGUAAUCUCCGAAACCUGGUCGUAGUUCGGAUUGUGGGCUGAAACUCGCCCACAUG